rnacentral:misc_RNA from 1 species
AGCAGCUAAAGAGUGAGGAUCAAAGUACAACCAUUAACAUAUAUGUUUUUUACAUAUGGGAUUGGCCUUUUUUCUAAUUUCUAGAUUUCCCAGAUAGCUGAAGUUUAUAUCUGGUUAGAUUUUUGCUAGUUAAUAAAUGAAUCCAUAUAAUGACAGGUGUGCUUUACCUGGUAAAUGUAUGACAAGUCGCUUGGUCACAUAAAAACUUCAUUCUGGAGGAAGUAUUUUUUUUUAUUAUGUGUGUAUGACAUUAGGUUGCAUUUGACAUUUUCAUCCAUUUUUCUCUCUUUAAGGGGUAUUUCAUUCAACUGUUGGAAUAACUAUGAACUGUUCAACCCAUUAGGUAGACCAAAAAGUGG